UCAAAACCGGAUCAUUUAUUUGGGGUGUCACGAACAAGAACUUGCUGCCUGACUUUAAGUGUCUGAGGUUACUUAAAUUACAGAAGCUUUUUUACAUUCCUGACAGACUCUCAUGAAAAAGGAAAACGAGAUGAUUACCAGCACAAUAACAAUCCCACGGAAAAAAGAAAGGGAUCAUCUGCUAUCACCAUUCAAAGAGCCAAGCGUUCGACGACUCGUUCAUUAACAGGUUGUCGGCCGACAGGUCCCACUGUGCUGCUCACUUUUCCCAAAACGCGUCUUGACAAAACACCAGCGGGGUCCAAAGAACAGAUGAGGUCAGAUAAAGGUGCAUCAGGACACGAGGUACAAUAUGAAGUUCUUCUCAAAGACAAUGAAUUAAAUGGAUUUGAACAAAAGAAACAUUUUUUCUUUCUUUUUUUUUACAUUUUUGAAAAAAACUUUAUUGUCUUCUGGUCCUUGGUAGUAACGCACAUUUCAAAUAUAAAAAGAACCAUAGGUAUGAAAAUAGCAUGGGGCAUCAGACAUGAGUUGUGGAUGCUGGAGGAGCCGAAGGAGCAAAAAUCAUGUAAAACAACCCCACUCACAGGACACCACGCUGCUGAGGAGUACGAUCUCAACACUUGCACUUGACUGUACCAUUGAGUAAUGAGAUAUCUAUGUCACACUGAAGCCACAAAUAUGAAAACACAAAGCAGAAAGAAGUGUACAGUUGAGUAUUGUGUGUACAGUAAGUUAGAUAGGAGAUAAUAAACAACAGAAACAUGGUCCACCGCUGCUGAAACACACCGGUGACAGCACACGUCUGAGUCGUGCACGGCAGCAGCCACAAAUAAUACAACAGUGAUGUGCUGGCGAUGACACCGACCAUCUCAGACCACUUCUAGGCUAAUAAAUUCUGUUACGCUCAGAGUUUCCAACCAAAUGACACUUCACAGUACCGCACUGAAUACAUGAGACUGAACCCAGAACACAAUUUCCUUAAACAUGAUUCAUGAUUCAGAGAAUAAACAGAAAAUCUUUGGCUUAUUCGUCACAAUAAUACUCGCCGAAUGUGGAAACUGCGCUAAUACUUUCAAAAAUGUUGCCUGUUCGACAAAAUUUUCCAAAGUCACGAUAACACACAACUUUCCUCGUUAAGGAUUUACAUAGCACGUUAGUGACAGACAGAUAUGUUUCAAGUCUAGAUGUCUGUCCCUCACACGCCCCAUCUGCAUAAUCCUGCUGAUCCUCCCAUGACAUGGUGCCCAGAGCUGGUUCACUGGUUCAGUCUGGAGCCACACACAUGCCCAUACUGGCCUGGGAUCAAUUCCCAGCCGGAAUCGCUCCCUUUGUUUACCCCCUUAGCUGUCCCACAGUCUGGAAAGAUAAUACUGAAAAAUGCGGAUGGUCCAGUUGGACAAACACGAUGCAAAAUCAACGGCAAAUAAGAGGAGGAGGGUGGGAGUUGGGCUUUUUAAUCAAAGUGGGGACAGCCAAUGGAAAGAAAUCUGUUGUGUCAGGAAUAAAGGCACGUUGAAGUUAUUGUCAAAUCUGUCGUCGUGCUAAAUAAAGCAGCGUGGCUGUGCUAUGUAAACCCUGUAAGGCAAAGGUAACACCUGCACACAACUCCAGUCUGCAGCUUUAACUGAAUCACAUCCGUUCAGUCUGGAUCUCUUGUUAUGACGCAACAUGUCGAAGUCAUCUUGAUAAAGAUCUGACAGAAAAUGUGAUAAUAAUAAAACUGUCAAAGAUCAUCCAGAGUUGUGUUCGUAACAACGCUUGACCUUAUUUCAGUCCAAGUUGAGAAAAGAGUUAAAGGUCAUAUUGAUAACAUCUUUUAUAUAAAAAUCCUUUUCAAAACAAAACUGUAUAUCUACAGAGCUUGUAGAAAGGAGCAGAGUCAAAGUAUUUAUCCUCCUUAAAGUCAUUAUUAUGGUUGUGAAUUAAUCAGUGCAUGAAUACUUCCGUUGGGUCCAACUACUAAUAAGGUUUCUGAGUCGAUAGUGUAACUCUGUUGGUGUCACAUGGUGUCUGUGUUUCUAGACAUCACUCUGUGGAAUAAAAUUAAAACAUAUCGGCACCUAGCAUAUUGUUUUGCCCUCGUGUUAGCUAGCCAGGGUUAACAACAUUCACAUUAGCUAGCAUUAGCGAUGUUACUGUUAGCCACCGAAUGGUAUCAACAUUUGUGUUAUCUAGUGUUAGCAAUGUCAACAUUAGCUAGCUAGCAUUUGCAACAUUCACAUUUCUAGUGUGAGCAAUGUUAAUGAUAGCUAUCUUCAGCAGUGUUAGCAACAUUGGCGUUAACACAGUUAGCGUUAGCAAUGUUAGCUAGUGCAAGAAAGUGGCUUCCACUCAAGGGGGCAGACGAUUCAAACCACAGCGACACACACCUUCACACCUUUGAAUAUUUUGUGUCCGUCCUGUCUGGAUCUUUGAUUUGACAACACACGUUGAAGUUGUCUCGAUAAGAUCUUACAGGAAACAUGAUAGUUAUGAACUCUCAAAGAGCCUCCAGAACCGUGUGACAUUAACUCCUGACCUCAUUUAUUUGAGUAUCGCUCAAGAAAUGAGAUAAAUGAAGCAGAAACUUUCCUCUUUGUGUUUCAGUGUUUUAGACACUAUUGCCUGAUAAUACAGACUGAGAUAAGAAUGAGUUUAGUUGACAGUCAGGGUGGUUUUUUAACAGUCAGGGCCCUGUUAUAAGUCUCAUGUGGCAGAAUACAAACGUACAUAUGGGUGCAUCCUGUUGGCUCACAUGACUCCACUGUGUCCGUCGUUUCGUAGAAUUUUGAUCACUUUUUAAUCAUAACACGGUAAUGCAAGAGUAACUGUAAAAUCUAGCACCACUCUUAACACCUUAUUGCAUCGCCCCUCAUCUGUUUCGCAGAGGGGAGUCAGAUCACGGUAACAUCUGGGCUCCACAGAGCAAAGAAUCAACUCACACUUCAACACAAACCAUCAACGUGAUAUAAAACAGGGUUUGUGGCCAACAAAGUUCCACGUGUGGCAGGUUAAAGUUCCUUAUUGUUGUUGCUAUUGUUCAGUACGAUCACUUGUAUAAAUUACUGCGAUUGAAAAAGAACCAAAGACAUACAGCUGCUGUCAGCACUGUGUGUUUUGCAUGGCGAACAGGUGCGCCGACAUACGCGGCCGCAUCCAUUUUCACUCAGCGUCUCGUUUGUCUGCAGGCACAGUAGGCGCCACUUUACCCCAGCUGAGUUUACUGUUCCUCUCCAGUAGGAAAUAAUGACUCCUCAGUUUUACUUCAUGGCUCCACAAUGUGAGCACAGCGUCAACACCAGCUAUUGCUUAAAGCAGCAAUUUGUAAGAUAUGGCCAGAAUUGAAAUUUAAAAAACAUUUGAUGAAGGCGGUAAUGUUCUCAACAGAGUGGUAAGAAAUACGUCUGUGCUUUGUGCUGCAGAGAUGUCCACUGAAGUUAGCAUGCUAACCAGCUAGCAAGGCCCUUCCUGUCUGUAAUACCACUUUGUACUACGAGAGAGGAUAGUCUAAUAUCUGCUGUAAUUUUACCUGCUAACGGUGAUAAAUAAACAAAAAUACACUCACAAAAUGUCAAGAAAUAAAACACCCAUACUUCUAUAUUCUUUACUAAACAACAACAACCCAAAAAACACAACGUACACCUUCUGAACUCAAGUUGCUCUUGCUCACUGAAUUAAGACAACUGCCUAAUUAACUUAUCAUAAAACACUUUAAAACUACAAAAAAAAUAAAACAAAACUCCACAAUCUCCUCUGGUUUGCUAGAAAUAAAUCCUCAACCAGAAGGUAAGACAUGAAAAUAUUCUGUUCCAGACAAACUCUAUAGCUCCUGGCUCCACGGCGAACUGAGCUAAUUAGCUAACAUUAGGAAGCUACAGCCACUGAUAGCUUGAAUUCUGGCCAUAUUCGACAAAUGACACCUUUAAAACUCCACUAUUCACAAGCUAAAGUUACACAAACUGUGAUGAGAUGCAGUAUCAAAAUAUACGAGUGUAAUUUAGGGUUGCUCGAACAUAAAUGACUGGGCACAUAUGUGAAAUAUUUGGCACAAUUAUAAUCAAAAGAAAAACAGCUAAACAACAACAA